rnacentral:lncRNA from 1 species
GUUUAGUAUUGAUUGUUAGUGGUGUGAUUGGGUGUGUUAUUAUUCUGAAUUACGGGGGAGGUUACAUGGGUUUAAUGGUUUUUUUAAUUUAUUUGGGGGGAAUGAUGGUUGUUUUUGGAUAUACUACAGCGGUGGCUAUUGAGGAGUAUCCUGAGGCAUGGGGGGUCAGGGCUGAUUCGGGAGGAUCCUAUUGGUGCGGGGGCUUUGUAUGAUUAUGGGCGUUGAUUAGUAGUAGUUACUGGUUGAACAUUGUUUGUUGGUGUGUAUAUUGUAUUUGA